rnacentral:lncRNA from 1 species
AAAUCUGAAGCGGAGGCUGCAAGAGCAUAGCUUGAAAGUCCCGAACAUGGCGGAGCAGCACAGAGUCCACCCGGUGGACGUCGAGUCUCCACCGCCGUCGGCACCGGAGGCUCCCCCGAGCUUACUACAACCGGAGAAGGCCGGCGCCACCGCACCGGCCGCCCAUUCGAGGCCUCCAGGAAAGAGAAGGAGCCGCUGCUGCACGUGUUUGUGCUGGUCUCUCCUCGCCAUCGUCAUCCUCAUCGUCGUCAUCGCCGUCGCCGCCGGCGUCCUCUACCUCGUCUUCCGCCCCAAGAUCCCGAAGUACUCCGUGGACCGCCUCGCCGUCUCGAGCUUCACGGUCGACGACAACGCGACCGUCGCCGUCACGUUCAACGUGACGGUCACGGCGAGGAACCCCAACAGGAGAAUCGGCAUCUACUACCAGGGCGGGAGCGACCUGAGCGCGUGGUACACCGACGAGCGGCUCUGCACCGGGAGCUUCCCAGCGUUCUACCAGGGCCACAGAAACACGACGGUGCUGCACGUGUUGCUCACCGGAGAAGCAAAGAUCGGGAGCGAGUUGCUAACGGAGCUGCAGCAGCAGCAGCAGACCGGGACGAUACCGUUGGCCGUCCGGGGAGUCG